rnacentral:lncRNA from 1 species
GUAACCAAAGGAGACUGUAUGAAUUCUAGUAUUCAAUGUAAGGAGACUGUAUGAAUUCUAGUAUUCAAUGUAAGGAGACAGAUUAAAGACUUCAAGAAUUAACUGGUUGUCAGAACCAAGGCCUUACAAGAGAAGUCAUUCAAAUGCAUAUUGAGAACACCCUGAUGCACAGAGGUUGUUUACAACUUUAUGACCACAAAGAAAAUCAUGGCAGACUGUGAAGUGAAGAUCCUUACCCAAGGCCUUCAUCCCUUCAAAUUUUUUUCUUUGUAAACUUAUUUAUUGGCUUUAGUUUGUAUCAAACAAUAAAAUUUUUAUGCCAGAAACCUUA